rnacentral:rRNA from 1 species
GACGAACGCUGGCGGCGUGCUUAACACAUGCAAGUCGUACGGAAAGGCCUCUUUCGGGGGGUACUCGAGUGGCGAACGGGUGAGUAACACGUGAGUAACCUGCCCUUGACUUUGGGAUAACUUCAGGAAACUGGGGCUAAUACCGGAUAUGACCCCCUGCUGCAUGGUGGGGGUUGGAACGUUUCGGCGGUUGGGGAUGGACUCGCGGCUUAUCAGCUUGUUGGUGGGGUAGUGGCUUACCAAGGCUUUGACGGGUAGCCGGCCUGAGAGGGUGACCGGCCACAUUGGGACUGAGAUACGGCCCAGACUCCUACGGGAGGCAGCAGUGGGGAAUAUUGCACAAUGGGUGGAAGCCUGAUGCAGCAACGCCGUGUGCGGGAUGACGGCCUUCGGGUUGUAAACCGCUUUCGCUCAUGACGAAGCUUUGUGUGACGGUAGUUGGUAAAGAAGCACCGGCUAACUACGUG